GGUAGAUACACGUGAGGUCUGCACAAGAGAAGUGUGUUUGGGAACUGCUCUCCUGACUGGGAGUUCAACAUUUUGCAAGGCUAGCCACCAAGACCCCCUCCAACAUCCACACCUUCUAUUGCGCUCCUACUCACCACCUGCUGCCAUUUUGACAGCACCUGCAACUGACAAGGACAGUGAUUGACAGCCAGAGGGAGGAUAAGGUGGGCAAUUCCCUCCUUAUAAAAAGGGAACCCAUUUGUGUCUGACAUAGACAUGCAGAGGGAGAGAGAGGUUGCCGUUAAUAAGAAGUUUGAGCAGUGACUGACCAUAGCUCUCGCUGGCCAGACAACUCACCCAUUUGUCAACCCGUGUCUGCAAGUACGUUCUCCUGACUGUACCUUAAUGGUCCAAGGAACCUAAAAGUCAUGUUGGACCACAGGGUGAAAUUUCCACAAUCCGUGUAUGUAUUUGUAAUAUUGUGGCACUCUUUUCAAGUUUUAUUUAUAACUGAAUAUUUUAUCAAUAAAUAUUCUACAUGAAA